rnacentral:rRNA from 1 species
ACGGAAGGCAGCAGUGGGGAAUAUUGGGCAAUGGGCGCAAGCCUGACCCAGCAACGCCGCGUGAAGGAAGAAGGCUUUCGGGUUGUAAACUUCUUUUAAGGGGGAAGAGCAGCAGACUGUAGCCCUAGAAUAAGCCACGGCUAACUACGUGCCAGCAGCCGCGGUAAUACGUAGGUGGCAAGCGUUGUCCGGCUUUACUGGGUGUAAAGGGCGUGUAGCCGGGGAGGCAAGUCAGAUGUGAAAUCUAUGGGCUUAACCCAUAAACUGCAUUUGAAACUGUUUCUCUUGAGUGCUGUAGGGGCAAUCGGAACUCCUUGUGUAGCGGUUAAAUGCGUAGAUAUAAGGAAGAACACCAGCGGCAAAGGCGGAUUGCUGGACAGUAACUGACGGUGAGGCGCGAAAGUGUGGGGAGCAAACAGGAUUAGAUACCCUGGUA